GACGAACGCUGGCGGCGUGCCUAAUACAUGCAAGUCGAACGCAGUGGGGACGGGUGUGUAACACGUGGGUAACCUCCCAUCAGAGGGGAUAACACUUGGAAACAGGUGCUAAACCGAUACUGAUGGAUGGACCCGCGGUGCAUUAGCUAGUUGGUGAGGUAACGGCUCACCAAGGCCACGAUGCAUAGCCGACCUGUGAGGGUGACCGGCAACACUGUGAAUGGGACACGGCGCAGAGUCCUCGCGUGGGCAGCAGUAGGGAAUCUGCGGCAAUUGACGAAAGUUGGACCGAGCAAGGCCGCGUGAGGGAAGAAGGUUUGAGGAUGGAAAAGCUCUGUGGUUAGAGAAGCGGUAACUAACCAGAAGGGGACGGCUAACUACGUGCCAGCAGCGGCGGUAAUAC
rnacentral:rRNA from 1 species